rnacentral:tRNA from 1 species
GCCCCGGUAGCUCAGUUGGAAGAGCGCCGCUCUGGUAACUAGCCCUGGCUGGAAAGGCGGAGGUCCCGGGUUCAAUCCCCGGCCGGGGCU